GACGAACGCUGGCGGCGUGCCUAAUACAUGCAAGUAGAACGCUGAAGGAGGAGCUUGCUUCUCCGGAUGAGUUGCGAACGGGUGAGUAACGCGUAGGUAACCUGCCUGGUAGCGGGGGAUAACUAUUGGAAACGAUAGCUAAUACCGCAUAAGAGUAGAUGUCGCAUGACAUUUGCUUAAAAGGUGCAACUGCACCACUACCAGAUGGACCUGCGUUGUAUUAGCUAGUUGGUGAGGUAACGGCUCACCAAGGCAACGAUACAUAGCCGACCUGAGAGGGUGAUCGGCCACACUGGGACGGGGACACGGCACAGACUCCUACGGGAGGCAGCAGUAGGGAAUCUUCGGCAAGGGACGGAAGUCUGACCGAGCAACGCCGCGUGAGUGAAGAAGGUUUUCGGAUCGUAAAGCUCGGUUGUAAGAGAAGAACGAGUGUGAGAGUGGAAAGUUCACACUGUGACGGUAUCUUACCAGAAAGGGACGGCUAACUACGUG
rnacentral:rRNA from 1 species